CUACUAUUCUGUAGGACGCUUUGAUUGGGGCACCUCACCAAUAAAAUACUAUUUUAUAUUUUAUAAGCAGUUUGCCACCACACUGUACUUUUACUCUCCAAAGGCAUAUGAGUAUGUGCGUGACAACUUUAAUAAAGCUUUACCACACAGUCACACCAUCCACACAGCUGAUCCAGGAUUUACUGUAGCAUCUUUUACAGCACUAAGAGGUCAUGUACAGGCAAACAGAGAGAAGGGAAAAGAAACAAUCUGUGCUCUCAAAUAACAAAGCAGUCUCAAAUCUUUUUGAGGAAUUACAGCUAAAAAUCUACUUUGCAUACAGUAUAUCCUCUGAUAAAUACAGUGAAGUACUUUGAUUGCAUUUCUGUGGUGUUCCUGUAGGUGACCAUGAUGCAGUCAGACUGAAGCAGCACGUUGUGAAGGUGGACGCCAUCAUCUUGUCUUUGCAGCGUUGAUUCUGAAGAGAACGCCUUCAUAUAGGACUCAAAGGUAAAAUGAUCUCUCAUAUGAUUGGACCGUGUUAUUGUAACCGCUAUCAGCAUCAAAGUAAUUUUAGUAACAAUUUAUAAUCCUUCUUAAAAUGUAAGGAAGACUAGCAGAAGAUUUUAACAGCCUCUAUGGUUCUGCAAGAAGUUCAUGUUUAACUUGUUCUUCUUUCUGUCUUCAAGGAAAUCAAUGCUCAAAGGAAACAGCAGUCCAGACUCUGAUUCCAGCUCCGAAGAUGCCCUCACAUUCAGAUCCAUCAACAACACCUGACAACAUGGAGGACUCGUCCCCUGAGUGUUUCCUGUCCUCUCUCCAUGGUGUUCUUCUCUUUAGUUAUUAACUCUUGAAAACAGCAGCACAACAUGCCAGACUGUUUGACAAGUCUGUGAUUGAAUAAAUGGAAAUGGAAUCUCA